rnacentral:rRNA from 1 species
CACGAGAGUUUGUAACACCCGAAGUCGGUGAGGUAACCUUUUUGGAGCCAGCCGCCUAAGGUGGGAUAGAUGAUUGGGGUGAAGUCGUAACAAGGUAGCCGUAUCGGAAGGUGCGGCUGGAUCACCUCCUUUCUAAGGAA